GACGAACGCUGGCGGCGUGCUUAACACAUGCAAGUCGAACGGAAAGGCCCUGCUUUUGUGGGGUGCUCGAGUGGCGAACGGGUGAGUAACACGUGAGUAACCUGCCCUUGACUUUGGGAUAACUUCAGGAAACUGGGGCUAAUACCGGAUAGGAGCUCCUGCUGCAUGGUGGGGGUUGGAAAGUUUCGGCGGUUGGGGAUGGACUCGCGGCUUAUCAGCUUGUUGGUGGGGUAGUGGCUUACCAAGGCUUUGACGGGUAGCCGGCCUGAGAGGGUGACCGGCCUCGCCGGGACUGGGGGAUGCCCCCGCCUGGUACCAGCCGCAGCGGUCGCGUGUUUUGCCCACUGCGCCGCCGCCUGAUGCCGGCCCUCCGCGUGCGGGGUGCCUGCCUUCGGUCUGUAGACGGCGUGCGCCCGCGCCUGGACCUUACCGACGCUAACCUGUAAAGACGAACCGGCCACCUACUUC
rnacentral:rRNA from 1 species